rnacentral:rRNA from 1 species
AUACGUAGGGAGCGAGCGUUGUCCGGAAUUACUGGGUGUAAAGGGAGCGUAGGCGGGAGUGCAAGUCAGAUGUGAAAUACAUGGGCUCAACCCAUGGGCUGCAUUUGAAACUGCAUUUCUUGAGUGAAGUAGAGGUAAGCGGAAUUCCUGGUGUAGCGGUGAAAUGCGUAGAUAUCAGGAGGAACACCGGUGGCGAAGGCGGCUUACUGGGCUUUUACUGACGCUGAGGCUCGAAAGCGUGGGGAGCAAACAGGAUUAGAUACCCUGGUAGUCCACGCUGUAAACGAUGAAUACUAGGUGUGGGGGGACUGACCCCCUCCGUGCCGGAGUUAACACAUUAAGUAUUCCACCUGGGGAGUACGGCCGCAAGGUUGAAACUCAAAUGAAUUGACGGGG